rnacentral:rRNA from 1 species
AUUGAACGCUGGCGGCAUGCCUUACACAUGCAAGUCGAACGGCAGCGCGGGGCAACCUGGCGGCGAGUGGCGAACGGGUGAGUAACAUAUCGGAACAUACCCUAGAGUGGGGGAUAACGUAGCGAAAGUUACGCUAAUACCGCAUACGCACUAAGGUGGGAAGUGGGGGAUUCGCAAGAACCUCAUGCUCAUGGAGUGGCCGAUAUCUGAUUAGCUAGUUGGUGAGGUAAAGGCUCACCAAGGCGACGAUCAGUAGCUGGUUUGAGAGAACGACCAGCCACACUGGAACUGAGACACGGUCCAGACUCCUACGGGAGGCAGCAGUGGGGAAUUUUGGACAAUGGGGGGCAACCCUGAUCCAGCAAUGCCGCGUGAGUGAAGAAGGCCUUCGGGUUGUAAAGGACUCUUUUGUCUAGGGAAGAAACGGUAGAGUUCUAAUAAAGACUUGCUAAUGACGGUACCUGAAGAAUAAGCACCGGCUAACUACGUGCCAGCAGCCGCGGUAA